GACGAACGCUGGCGGCGUGCUUAACACAUGCAAGUCGAACGCUGAAGCUCAGCUUUUGUUGGGUGGAUGAGUGGCGAACGGGUGAGUAACACGUGAGUAACCUGCCUCCUUCUUUGGGAUAACGCCCGGAAACGGGUGCUAAUACUGGAUAUUCACUGGUCUUCGCAUGGGGGUUGGUGGAAAGGGUUUUUCUGGUGGGGGAUGGGCUCGCGGCCUAUCAGCUUGUUGGUGGGGUGAUGGCCUACCAAGGCUUUGACGGGUAGCCGGCCUGAGAGGGUGACCGGUCACAUUGGGACUGAGAUACGGCCCAGACUCCUACGGGAGGCAGCAGUGGGGAAUAUUGCACGAUGGGGGCAAGCCUGAUGCAGCGACGACGCGUGAGGGAUGGAGGCCUUCGGGUUGUGAACCUCUUUCGCUCAUGGUCAGGCCGCAACAAUGGUUGUGGUGAGGGUAGUAGGUAAAGAAGCGCCGGCUAACUACGUG
rnacentral:rRNA from 1 species